rnacentral:rRNA from 1 species
AAGGUACGGAGCCGAAGCGAAAGCGAGUCUUAAUAGGGCGACUAGUUGCAUGCCGUAGACCCGAAACCGGGUGACCUAUCCAUGGCCAGGUUGAAGCGAGGGUAAAACCUCGUGGAGGACCGAACCACGUUGCUGUUGAAAAAGCAUGGGAUGAGCUGUGGAUAGCGGAGAAAUUCCAAUCGAACUCGGAGAUAGCUGGUUCUCCCCGAAAUAGCUUUAGGGCUAGCGUCGGAUAUGUGUAGUGGAGGUAGAGCACUGAAUGGGCUAGGGGGCAUAUCGCUUACCGAACCUUAUCAAACUCCGAAUGCCAUAUACAUUUAGUCCGGCAGUCAGACUACGAAUGAUAAGAUCCGUGGUCAAAAGGGAAACAGCCCAGAUCGUCAGCUAAGGUCCCAAAGUGUAAGUUAAGUGGAAAAGGAUGUGGGAUUUCUAAGACAACUAGGAUGUUGGCUUAGAAGCAGCCACUCAUUUAAAGAGUGCGUAAUAGCUCACUAGUCGAGAGGUCCUGCGCCGAAAAUGUCCGGGGCUAAAACUUACCACCGAAGCUACGGGCUUGCGUAAGCAAGCGGUAGGGGAGCGUCGUAAUCGGGCUGAAGUCGUACCGUAAGGAGCGGUGGACUGAUUACGAGUGAGAAUGUUGGCAUUAGUAGCGAGAUGUAGGUGAGAAUCCUACAGGCCGAAUAUCUAAGGUUUCCUCAGGAAGGCUCGUCCGCUGAGGGUUAGUCGGGACCUAAGCCGAGGCCGAAAGGCGUAGGCGAUGGACAACAGGUUGAUAUUCCUGUACCACUACCAUCGUUAUUAUCGAGGGUGUGACGGAGAAGGAUAGUGUGUGCUAGCGAUUGGAAAUGCUAGUCUAAGCGUUUAGGCAGUUACGGUAGGCAAAUCCGCUGUAACGUUAAUGCUGAGGCGUGAUGGGGAAGGCCCUUGAGGCUGAAGUACAUGAUUCCAUGCUUCCAAGAAAAGCAUCUAGAGAGAGAAGUAGUGCCCGUACCGCAAACCGACACAGGUAGAUGAGGAGAGAAUCCUAAGGCCGGCGGAAGAAUUGCAGUUAAGGAACUAGGCAAAUUGACCCCGUAAGUUAGCGAGAAGGGGUGCCUGCGAGAGCAGGCCGCAGAGAAUAGGCCCAAGCAACUGUUUAGCAAAAACACAGGUCUCUGCUAAAGCGCAAGCUGAUGUAUAGGGGCUGACGCCUGCCCGGUGCUGGAAGGUUAAGGGGAACACUUAGCGCAAGCGAAGGUGUGAACUUAAGCCCCAGUAAACGGCGGCCGUAACUAUAACGGUCCUAAGGUAGCGAAAUUCCUUGUCAGGUAAGUUCU